GAGUAACGCGUAGGUAACCUGCCUUGUAGCGGGGGAUAACUAUUGGAAACGAUAGCUAAUACCGCAUAACAGUUGAUAACUCAUGUUAUUAGCUUGAAAGAUGCAACAGCAUCACUACGAGAUGGACCUGCGUUGUAUUAGCUAGUUGGUGAGGUAAAGGCUCACCAAGGCCACGAUACAUAGCCGACCUGAGAGGGUGAUCGGCCACAUUGGGACUGAGACACGGCCCAAACUCCUACGGGAGGCAGCAGUAGGGAAUCUUCGGCAAUGGGGGCAACCCUGACCGAGCAACGCCGCGUGAGUGAAGAAGGUUUUCGGAUCGUAAAGCUCUGUUGUAAGAGAAGAACGUUGAUGAGAGUGGAAAAUUCAUCAAGUGACGGUAUCUUACCAGAAAGGGACGGCUAACUACGUGCCAGCAGCCGCGGUAAUACGUAGGUCCCGAGCGUUGUCCGGAUUUAUUGGGCGUAAAGCGAGCGCAGGCGGUUUCGUA
rnacentral:rRNA from 1 species